ensembl:lncRNA CXXC5-AS1 CXXC5 antisense RNA 1
AUUCUCCCUCCCAGGCUCUGCACGCUGCGUGGCCCACGCGGGGCUCGGGAGACAGCUCAAAAGACUCCCCAAGGCUGGGAAAGGAGGGAGGGAGGGGCCGCGGGGCACCGUGGUGGUGGGGGAGAUACUUUGAUGGAAAAAAAAGGUCAAACUUCAUCAGCCCGCCGGGCACCCCGCGGGCAGCGGGGGCGAGGAGCCGGAGGAAAAAUGCAGAAGUAGCCGCCGCUUCUUCCAAGUGGUGGGGGAGGCUCAGCCACGCGUGGUCGAGGGCGCCCAGAGCAGUUAACGUCGCCCCUCAACACAGGGCUGCGAGCGGGGUCUGAUGGGGGGAGUGCGCGCCAGAGAUCUACAAGCAGCCGCCCCCGCAGGCUGAGCGCCCGCCCAACGCCAAGAGUGAUCUGCGACCGAGCAUACUGCGGCUUAGGGAGGCUUGGGUAUAGCAGCGGCCACCAAGCGAUCACCGGCGCUAGGUCUCCCAGGCUCCGGGGCUCCGCGGCUUACGGUGCGGGCGCCCCCCGCCCCUCCCAAAUACGGACCCCUCCUUCCCCGUCCCCGGCUCUCCGCACCUGAACUUCGG